CCCUUAGUAACUGCGAGUGAAGAGGGAAAAGCUCAAAUUUUGAAUCUGGCAGGGUUACACCUCUGCCCGAGUUGUAAAUUCGAGAAGUGCUACCCAAGCUGGGGACCAUGCAGAAGUCUCUUGGAAAAGAGCAUCAUAGAGGGUGACAAUCCCGUCUCUGGCAUUGGACUCCCAGCCCUGUGGUACACUCUCAAUGAGUCGAGUUGUUUGGGAAUGCAGCUCUAAAUGGGUGGUAAAUUCCAUCUAAAGCUAAAUAUUGGCGAGAAACCGAUAGUGAACAAGUACCGUGAGGGAAAGAUGAAAAGAACUUUGAAAAGAGAGUUAAACAGUACGUGAAAUUGUUGAAAGGGAAACGCUUGAUGUCAGAGACAUGUUCAUCAGAAAUCAACCUGACUUUAGUUUGGUGCACUUUCUGUUGGACAGGCCAGCAUCAAUUUUGGCUGCUGGAGAAAGGCUUUGGAAAUGUAGCAUCUUUGGAUGUGUUAAGUCCUUAGUCUUAUACAGUGGCUGGGAUUGAGGAACUCAGUGUGACCACUGUGUUUGGAUGUUUACAUCACACUACACACUUAGGAUGCUGGCAUAAUGGCUUUAAUCGACCCGUCUUGAAACACGGACCAAGGAGUCCAACAUACAUGCAAGUGUUUGGGUGGAAAACCCAAGUGCGUAAUGAAAGUGAAAGUUGAGAAUCCUGUCAUGGGGUGCAUCAACACCCGGUCCAGAGCUUCUGUGACGGAUCUGCGGUAGAGCAUGUAUGUUGGGGACCCGAAAGAUGGUGAACUAUGCCUGAAUAGGGUGAAGCCAGAGGAAACUCUGGUGGAAGCUCGUAGCGAUUCUGACGUGCAAAUCGAUCGUCGAAUUUGGGUAUA
rnacentral:rRNA from 1 species